UACGUAGGGUGCAGGCGUUAAUCGGAAUUACUGGGCGUAAAGCGUGCGCAGGCGGUUUGCUAAGACAGGUGUGAAAUCCCCCGGGCUUAACCUGGGAACUGCGCUUGUAACUGGCAAGCUGGAGUGUGGCAGAGGGGGGGUGGAAUUCCACGUGUAGCAGUGAAAUGCGUAGAGAUGUGGAGGAACACCGAUGGCGAAGGCAGCCCCCUGGGCUAACACUGACGCUCAUGCACGAAAGCGUGGGGAGCAAACAGG
rnacentral:rRNA from 1 species